rnacentral:rRNA from 1 species
GUAGGGAAUAUUGGGCAAUGGUCGGAAGACUGACCCAGCCAUGCCGCGUACAGGAAGACGGCCCUCUGGGUUGUAAACUGCUUUUAUCUGGGAAGAAAAAGGCCAUGCGUGGCAAAUUGCCGGUGCCAGAUGAAUAAGCACCGGCUAACUCCGUGCCAGCAGCCGCGGUAAUACGGAGGGUGCGAGCGUUGUCCGGAUUUAUUGGGUUUAAAGGGUGCGUAGGCGGCUGAUUAAGUCAGCGGUGAAAGACUUCGGCUUAACCGGAGCAGUGCCGUUGAUACUGGGUGGCUUGAGUGUCGGAGGGGUACAUGGAAUUGAUGGUGUAGCGGUGAAAUGCAUAGAUACCAUCAGGAACACCGAUAGCGAAGGCAUUGUACUGGCCGACAACUGACGCUGAUGCACGAAAGUGUGGGGAUCGAACAGGAUUAGAUACCCUUGUAGUCC